rnacentral:rRNA from 1 species
GAUGAACGCUAGCGGCAGGCUUAAUACAUGCAAGUCGAGGGGCAGCAUGAAUGUAGCAAUACAUUCGAUGGCGUCCGGCAAACGGGUGCGGAACACGUACACAACCUUCCUAUAAGUGGGGAAUAGCCCAGAGAAAUUUGGAUUAAUACCCCGUAACAUAAUGAUGUGGCAUCACAUUAUUAUUAUAGCUUCGGCGCUUAUUGAUGGGUGUGCGGCUGAUUAGAUAGUUGGCGGGGUAACGGCCCACCAAGUCUACGAUCAGUAGCUGAUGUGAGAGCAUGAUCAGCCACACGGGCACUGAGACACGGGCCCGACUCCUACGGGAGGCAGCAGUAAGGAAUAUUGGUCAAUGGACGCAAGUCUGAACCAGCCAUGCCGCGUGAAGGAUUAAGGUCCUCUGGAUUGUAAACUUCUUUUAUCUGGGACGAAAAAAGGCUAUUCUUAGUCACUUGACGGUACCAGAUGAAUAAGCACCGGCUAACUCCGUGCCAGCCGCCGCGGUAACAC